GACGAACGCUGGCGGCGCGCUUAACACAUGCAAGUCGAACGGAAAGGCCUGCUUUCCCUUGUGGAUUGCGGGUACUCGAGGGGCGAACGGGUGAGUAACACGUGAGUGAUCUGCCCCCAACUUGGGUAUAAGCCUGGGAAACUGGGUCUAAUUCCCGAUAGGACUGCAGGGUGGUGCCUGUGGUGGAAAACGAUUUUCUAGUGGUUGGGGAUGAGCUCGCGGCCUAUCAGCUUGUUGGUGGGGUAAUGGCCUACCAAGGCGGCGACGGGUAGCCGGCCUGAGAGGGUGGACGGGCACAUUGGGACGGAGAUACGGCCCAGACGCCUACGGGAGGCAGCAGUGGGGAAGAUUGCACAAGGGGCGGAAGCCCGAGGCAGCGACGCCGCGUGGGGGAUGACGGCCUUCGGGUUGUAAACUCCUGUCGACAGCGAGGAAGCCACCUGGUUGGAAGGGUGGUGACGGUAGUGGUAGAAGAAGCACCGGCUAACUACGUG
rnacentral:rRNA from 1 species